CGUGACGUCGUUCCGCGCGUGCGCAGUGGCCGGGCACCGGCCGGGCAGGUUUCGGCUAGCGGGGCGGCGCGAAGGGUUUGUGGGAAAUGUGAGGCGAGAGGCUUCGGCGGCGGGAGAAGGGGCUUCGUCCCACCGCCAUCUUUGCGGUGGGUUCUACUGCGUAUUGUCUUUUUUGUUGUUGUUUUAAGCCCUGGGCUUUCCAAGCUUAACUUUCUCACUACCAUUACACUGAAAAAGAGCCCUUGAAAGUUUUGCUCCGAUCUUGCACAUUCUUUUGGAAGUCUUACCGUGGAAAUUGGAAUUGAACAGCUUGGACUUGGAGACAGUGAAUUAAAACAGAAAUAAGAAGGCGGCAGAAAAAGACUAUACCAGAUUGAAAUGUGUUGGAUAUUCAUAUCCACCCAGCACCUCAGAAUGUGGCCAUGGAGGAGGGAGACAGAGAUUGGAGUGACGCAUCUUCAAGCCUAGGAACACUAAGGAUUGCUGGUAACCACCAGAAGCUGGGAGAGGCAACAAAGUGUCCUUUCCUAGAGCCUUCAGAGAGAGCGUGGCCCUGCCAACACCUUGAUUAUACGCUUCAAACUUCUAGAAUUGUGAGAGAAUAAAUUUCUGUUGUUAUAAGCCACCUAGUUUGUGGCCUUUUGUUAUGGCAGCCCUGGGAAACUAAUAAACAUGAUAGUACUGGGAAGUGGGAUGCUGCUGUAGAAAAUACCUAAAAAUGUGGAAGUGGCUUUGGAACUGGGUAGUGGGUAGAGGCUGGGAGAAUUUUUAGGUGCAUGGCAGAAAAAGCCUGGGUUGCCUUAAAGAGAUUGUUGGUAGAAAUACUGAAGUUUAAGGGGCUUCUGGUUAGGGCUCAGAAAGAAGGAAGGAGAGCUAUGGAGAGAGCUUCUAUUGUGUUAAGGCAUAUAUAUAUAUAUAACCACUAAAAGAAUGUUUCCGGAAAUAAUGAGCAAUAAAGGUGCUUCUGGUGAAGUCCCAGAUAUAAAUGGGGAACAUAUUCUUGGACACUAGAGAAAAGGCAAUCCUUGUCAUAAACUGGCAGAAAACUUGGCUGAAUUAUGCUCUACUGUUCGGUGAAAAGUAGAACUUGUAAAAGAAGAACUUGGAUAUUUGGAUUAGGAGAUUUCCAGGCAAAGUAUGAAAGGUGCAGCCAGAUUUCUCUUUGCUGCUUACAGUAAAAUGAGAGAGGAAAGAGAUACAUUGAGAAAUGCACUGUUAAGGAAAAAGAAACCAAGAGUUGAUCAUUGGUAAGAUUCUUACGCUAUCCUAAUAGUAUGCUAUGAAAAAAGAGCUAAGGUGUAGCUGGACAGCUGUUUGCGAUAGACAUUAGGUGUGUGAUUUAGGGAUCCAGUCAACCAUCUCAGUAACAACCUGCAAUAAAGAUGGGGUUAUCCAGGAAGGACCCAUGGAGCACCUUCAUGUCUAACAAUGUGAGACUCCUUGACAUUCAUGAAAGACUUACAUGGUUUUUGAGAAUUUUAUACCAGCAGAAACACUGCCAGCCUGGACUGAAAGGGACAGAGACAAGACAAAAUGAAGGAGGAAUGACUUUUGAGGGCAGAGCCAUGGAUGCAGAGGUCAGAGAGAAAGGAGUUCCUGCCUCAGUGGGCCCAGAGGACAUAGCAUCCAGCCACAAAGGAUUACUCUUAGGCUUUGAAACCUGAGGGAAUUUGCACUGCUGGGUUAUGAACUUGCUAUAGACAAGUAUGGUUUGGCCAUAAGGCCAGAAAGAUUUCACAGGCCUGAACAAAAAUUCUGCCAGGGACAAAGACACUACGAUUGUCUCCUAAUGUUUGGUUUGGAUCAUUAACUAAGCCAAGGUUAAUGAGCAUUAAAUUUUUGAUGAACAUCAGGGUCUUCAAUGAAGAGGAUGAUGAUAAUUGCUAUCAUUGAUUGAGCACUUACCAUGAGCUAGACCCUGAUCUAAGAUCUUUGUGGCUGUUAAAUCUUCACAAUAGCUCCAUGAGGUAGAUCCUAUGAUUAUCCACAUGGUACAGAUAAGUGAAUCAAGGUACGUGGAGGAUAGCAUUCUGCCUACUUUCCUACAGACCAUUAAGUGCAAAAAUGGGAUUUGAUCUCAGCCGGCUACCAUGCUGAUGACAUCUUUCAACCUGCUGGGCUAGCAGGAUAUUGAGAAUUCCAGGAGAAACGAGGUAAGUAGUAUAUUGUAAGAGCAAAACCUUGGAGGGCACAAGGAGAAAACAGCUUCAUUCUUUUCCCCACCAUGUGCUUGAACCUGCUCUGUGGAACUAGUUCCCCUCUGCCCUCUGGGUGUGUCUAGGGCAGGUCCCCUGAAGUUUUUAGUCACCUGUAGAUAAUAAAAGGUUUUCCAGUUACUUACUGUCACAAAGAUAAUCUCAUUUCAGU